rnacentral:rRNA from 1 species
GGGAAACUCACCAGGUCCAGACAUAAUAAGGAUUGACAGAUUGAUAGCUCUUUCUUGAUUUUAUGGGUGGUGGUGCAUGGCCGUUCUUAGUUCGUGGAGUGAUUUGUCUGCUUAAUUGCGUUAACGAACGAGACCUUAACCUGCUAAAUAGGAGAGCAUAUCUUCGGAUACGCUCCUUUCUUCUUAGAGGGACUGUACAUGUUUCAAUGUGCGGAAGUUUGAGGCUAAAA